GACGAACCGUACGAACGUUAUUCGGAAUCACUGGGCUUAAAGGGUGCGUAGGCGGCGCAGUAAGUUGGGUGUGAAAUCCCUCGGCUCAACCGGGGAAUUGCUUGGUAUACUGCAGGGCUUGAGGCGGGUAGGGGUGCUUGGAACUCUAGGUGGAGCGGUGAAAUGCGUAGAUAUCUAGAGGAACGCCUGUGGCGAAAGCGGAGCACUGGGCCCGUCCUGACGCUAAGACGCGAAAGCGUGGGUAGCAAACGGG
rnacentral:rRNA from 1 species